CCUACGGGAGGCAGCAGUAGGGAAUCUUCCACAAUGGACGAAAGUCUGAUGGAGCAACGCCGCGUGAGUGAAGAAGGGUUUCGGCUCGUAAAGCUCUGUUGGUAGUGAAGAAAGAUAGAGGUAGUAACUGGCCUUUAUUUGACGGUAAUUACUUAGAAAGUCACGGCUAACUACGUGCCAGCAGCCGCGGUAAUACGUAGGUGGCAAGCGUUGUCCGGAUUUAUUGGGCGUAAAGCGAGCGCAGGCGGUUUCUUAGGGCUGAUGUGAAAGCCUUCGGCUUAACC
rnacentral:rRNA from 1 species